CGCGCCCAACACACGCAAGUUCGAGCCGGCAGCGAGUUUUCACACCGAAAUUCCGGAAGCUUCCGAGUACAACGUCAGACAGCGUUCAUUCAAGAAAUUUCGUCGUCAAAACGUUCGGCGAGCGGCGGACGGCUCGAGUAACGCGUAGGAAAUUCGCCCCAAAGUCGAGGAAAUAACCGCCCGAAAAGGGUAGCUAACGCCGCAUAUAGGUCUUCGGAUUAAAGCCUUCGGGCGCUUUCGGGAGAAAGCCUGCGUUGGAAUUAGGUAGUUCGGUAGGGUAAUGGCCUACCAAGCCGAACGAAUCCAUAGCUGGUCUGAGAGGAAGAUCAGCCAGACUGGAACUGAAAACACGGUCCAGAACUCCUACGGGAGGCAGCAGUGAGGAAAUCUUCCACAAUGGGCGAAAAGCCUGAUGGAGCAACCGCUCCGUGAAGGAAGAAGAGCCUUCGGGUUCGUAAACUUCUUUUAUGAAUGAAGAAUAUGACGGUAACUCAUGAAUAAGCACCGGCUAACUACGUGCCAGCAGCCGCGGUCAUACGUAGGGUGCAAGCAUUAUCCGGAGUGACUGGGCGUAAAGAGUUGCGUAGGCGGUUUAAUAAGUGAAUAGUGAAACCUGGUGGCUCAACCAUACAGACUAUUAUUCAAACUGUUAAACUCGAGAAUGGUAGAGGUAACUGGAAUUUCUAGUGUAGGAGUGAAAUCCGUAGAUAUUAGAAGGAACACCGAUGGCGUAGGCAGGUUACUGGGCCAUUUCUGACGCUAAGGCACGAAAGCGUGGGGAGCGAACCGGAUUAGAUACCCGGGUAGUCCACGCCGUAAACGAUGGAUACUAGCUGUUGGAGGUAUCGACCCCUUCAGUAGCGAAGCUAACGCGUUAAGUAUCCCGCCUGUGGAGUACGGCCGCAAGGCUAAAACAUAAAGGAAUUGACGGGGACCCGCACAAGCGGUGGAUUAUGUUCUUUAAUUCGAUGAUAACCGAAGAACCUUACCAGGGCUUGACAUCCAGGGAAGGUCUGCGAAAGUAGACUGUGCCUUUUGGAACCCUGUGACAGGUGAUGCAUGGCCGUCGUCAGCUCGUGUCGUGAGAUGUUAGGUUAAGUCCUUCAACGAGCGCAACCCUUGUGAAUAGUUGUAUUUUUCUAUUCAGACUGCCCCGGUAACGGGGAGGAAGGAGGGGAUGAUGUCAGGUCAGUAUUUCCCUUACGUCCUGGGCUAGAAACGUAAUACAAUGGCUAGUACAAUGCGCAGCGAAGCCGCGAGGUGAAGCAAAUCGCAUCAAAGCUAGUCCCAGUUCGGAUUGUAGGCUGAAACUCGCCUGCAUGAAGUCGGAAUCGCUAGUAAUCGCAGGUCAGCAUACUGCGGUGAAUACGUUCCCGGGCCUUGUACACACCGCCCGUC
rnacentral:rRNA from 1 species